rnacentral:rRNA from 1 species
GUAGGGAAUCUUCCACAAUGGACGAAAGUCUGAUGGAGCAACGCCGCGUGAGUGAAGAAGGUUCUCGGAUCGUAAAACUCUGUUGUGAGGGAAGAACAAGUACCGGAGUAACUGCCGGUACCUUGACGGUACCUCAUUAGAAAGCCACGGCUAACUACGUGCCAGCAGCCGCGGUAAUACGUAGGUGGCAAGCGUUGUCCGGAAUCAUUGGGCGUAAAGCGCGCGCAGGCGGUCCCUUAAGUCUGAUGUGAAAGCCCACGGCUCAACCGUGGAGGGUCAUUGGAAACUGGGGGACUUGAGUGCAGAAGAGGAAAGCGGAAUUCCAAGUGUAGCGGUGAAAUGCGUAGAGAUUUGGAGGAACACCAGUGGCGAAGGCGGCUUUCUGGUCUGUAACUGACGCUGAGGCGCGAAAGCGUGGGGAGCAAACAGGAUUAGAUACCCGUGUAGUCC